AUUCGUCGUAAUGAACUAGACCUUGCUACACAAAAAGCAGUUAAAAAUGGGUAGAGUUUCGUGGAUUAUUGCCUUAUAUCUUACAAUCAACGUGGUUAUUGUUGUUAAUGGAGAUCGGGUGACUAGAAGUUAGUUUUUUUAAUGGAAAAUAGGAAAAAAAGGUUUUUUUUUUUGGGGAAAAAAAGUAUUUUCGUAUGGAAAAUCUUCAAAAAUCGCGAUUUUUAAUUAUUUGUAUGUAAAAACUCGAAAAAGGAUGUGUUUUUUGCCCAAAAUUGCAAUUUUUAAAGCAAUUUUCUAAAAAUAUUCUAUAAAAAAAAAGAGUCGAAAAAAUCAUAAAAAUGUGAAAUUCGGCAAUUUAAAAGUCAUAAGCUUAAUAAAAAACGUGAUUUUUUUGUCAAAAAAAACUUAAAUUUCAAUUAUUUCAAUUAAAAUUCUGUUUAAUUUUCUAAAAUCAACAUUUUAAACAAAGAAAAAAAUCAUGAAAACUAACUAACUACGCAUUUCUUAAAGUUUCUCCAUUUCCAGAUGUUGAAGUAACGGCGGAAGAAGAAAAAAUACGGGAUAAAUUGGGAUAUGAAGCGAUUAGAGAUAUUCAUCGAGACAUGGACGAUGAUCAUUCGGGUUCAAUCGAUCGAAAUGAAUCGACUGGGG
rnacentral:sRNA from 1 species